GAUGAACGCUGGCGGCGUGCCUAAUACAUGCAAGUCGAGCGAACAGACGAGGAGCUUGCUCCUCUGACGUUAGCGGCGGACGGGUGAGUAACACGUGGAUAACCUACCUAUAAGACUGGGAUAACUUCGGGAAACCGGAGCUAAUACCGGAUAAUAUAUUGAACCGCAUGGUUCAAUAGUGAAAGACGGUUUUGCUGUCACUUAUAGAUGGAUCCGCGCCGCAUUAGCUAGUUGGUAAGGUAACGGCUUACCAAGGCAACGAUGCGUAGCCGACCUGAGAGGGUGAUCGGCCACCCUGGAACUGGGACACGGUCCAGACUCCUACGGGAGGCAGCAGUAGGGAAUCUUCCGCAAUGGGCGAAAGCCUGACGGAGCAACGCCGCGUGAGUGAUGAAGGUCUUCGGAUCGUAAAACUCUGUUAUUAGGGAAGAACAAAUGUGUAAGUAACUAUGCACGUCUUGACGGUACCUAAUCAGAAAGCCACGGCUAACUACGUG
rnacentral:rRNA from 1 species